rnacentral:rRNA from 1 species
GACGAACGCUGGCGGCGUGCUUAACACAUGCAAGUCGAACGAAGUGGCGAACGGGUGAGUAACGCGUAAUCAACCUGCCCUUCAGAGGGGGACAACAGUUGGAAACGACUGCUAAUACCGCAUACUGAAGGAGGGGAUUGCGUCUGAUUAGCUAGUUGGAGGGGUAACGGCCCACCAAGGCGAUGAUCAGUAGCCGGUCUGAGGGGAGGAACGGCCAAAUAGGGACUGAGACACGGGCCAGACUCCUACGGGGGGCAACAAUUGGGGAACUUCCGCAAUGGACGAAAGUCUGACGGAGCAACGCCGCGGGAGUGAUGACAGCCUUCGGGUUGUAAAGGUAUGUUCAUCGGGACGCGGUACCGGAAGAGAAAGCCACGGCUAACUACGUGCCAGCAGCCGCGGUAAUUC